AGCUUUGCGCAGUGGCGAUAUCGUAACCAAUGAGGUUUUACCGAGGUGCGAUUAUUGCUAGUUGAAAACCAACAUUGCGUAGGACUACUACUUUCUUAGCAAUCUAUAAGUGAAUAGCUCAUAGGCAUUUCAUCUUUUGAAUAGAG